rnacentral:rRNA from 1 species
CCCUUAGAUGUUCUGGGCGGCCCGCGCACUACAUUGGCACUCUCAGCGAGGGUCUAAAUUUAACAUUUUGGGGUAUUCUGCGAAGUGGUGUCGUGACUGGGAUUAACCCUUGCAAUUAUUGGUUAUGAACGAGGAAUUCCUUGUAAUCGCGGUUUAUCAGCCCGCGUUGAAUGCGUCCCUGCCCUUUGUACACACCGCCCGUCGCUCCUACCGAUGAAUCGUCCGGUGAAGUUCAUGGAGUGGUGGUUGUCCCAACUGCUGUCGAAGUGAAAUGGACCUCAUGAUUUAGAGGAAGGAGAAGUCGUAACA